GAUGAAGGAACGCAGCGAAAUGCGAUAAGUAAUGUGAAUUGCAGAAUUCAGUGAAUCAUCGAAUCUUUGAACGCACAUUGCGCCCCCUGGUAUUCCGGGGGGCAUGCCUGUCCGAGCGUCAUUACAACCCUCAAGCUCAGCUUGGUGUUGGGCCCCGCCGCCCCGGCGGGCCCUAAAGUCAGUGGCGGUGCCGUCCGGCUCCGAGCGUAGUAAUUCUUCUCGCUCUGGAGGUCCGGUCGUGUGCUCGCCAGCAACCCCCAAUUUUUUUCAGGUUGACCUCGGAUCAGGUAGGGAUACCCGCUGAACUUAAGCAUAUCAAUAAGCGGAGGA
rnacentral:misc_RNA from 1 species